rnacentral:rRNA from 1 species
UGGGGGAUAUUGCACAAUGGGCGAAAGCCUGAUGCAGCGACGUCGCGUGGGGGAUGAAGGCCUUCGGGUUGUAAACUUCUUUUGCUCUGAACAAGGCAUGCCUUUGGGGUGUGUUGAGUGUAGGGGUUGAUUAGCGCCGGCUAACUACGUGCCAGCAGCCGCGGUAAUACGUAGGGCGCGAGCGUUGUCCGGAAUUAUUGGGCGUAAAGGGCUUGUAGGUGGCUGGUUGCGUCUGUCGUGAAAGCUCAUGGCUUAACUGUGGGUUUGCGGUGGGUACGGGCUGGCUUGAGUGCAGUAGGGGAGGCUGGAAUUCCUGGUGUAGCGGUGGAAUGCGCAGAUAUCAGGAGGAAUACCGGUGGCGAAGGCGGGUCUCUGGGCUGUUACUGACGCUGAGGAGCGAAAGCGUGGGGAGCGAACAGG